GUGAGGAAUCUUCCACAAUGGGCGAAAGCCUGAUGGAGCAACGCCGCGUGAAGGAUGAAGGUCUUCGGAUUGUAAACUUCUUUUAUGAGUGAAGAAUAUGACGGUAACUCAUGAAUAAGCACCGGCUAACUACGUGCCAGCAGCCGCGGUCAUACGUAGGGUGCAAGCAUUAUCCGGAGUGACUGGGCGUAAAGAGUUGCGUAGGCGGUUAUGUAAGCGAAUAGUGAAACCUGGUGGCUCAACCACACAGAAUAUUAUUCGAAAUGCAUAACUCGAGAAUGGUAGAGGUAACUGGAAUUUCUUGUGUAGGAGUGAAAUCCGUAGAUAUAAGAAGGAACACCAAUGGCGUAGGCAGGUUACUGGGCCAUUUCUGACGCUAAGGCACGAAAGCGUGGGGAGCGAACCGGAUUAGAAACCCGUGUAGUCC
rnacentral:rRNA from 1 species